rnacentral:rRNA from 1 species
GACGAACGCUGGCGGCGUGCUUAACACAUGCAAGUCGAACGGUAAGGCCCUUCGGGGUACACGAGUGGCGAACGGGUGAGUAACACGUGGGUGAUCUGCCCUGCACUUCGGGAUAAGCCUGGGAAACUGGGUCUAAUAACGGAUAGGACCACUGCCCGACUGGGUGGUGGUGGAAAGCUUUUGCGGUGUUGGAUGGGCCCUCGGCCUAUCAGCUUGUUGGUGGGGUGAUGGCCUACCAAGGCGACGACGGGUAGCCGGCCUGAGAGGGUGACCGGCCACACUGGGACUGAGAUACGGCCCAGACUCCUACGGGAGGCAGCAGUGGGGAAUAUUGCACAAUGGGCGCAAGCCUGAUGCAGCGACGCCGCGUGAGGGAUGACGGCCUUCGGGUUGUAAACCUCUUUCAGCACCGACGAAGCGCAAGUGACGGUAGGUGCAGAAGAAGGACCGGCCAACUACGUGCCAGCCGCCGCCGUAA